GAUGAACGCUAGCGGCAGGCUUAAUACAUGCAAGUCGAGGGGCAGCAGGGUGUAGCAAUACACUGCUGGCGACCGGCAAACGGGUGCGGAACACGUACGCAACCUUCCUUCAAGUGGGGAAUAGCCCAGGGAAACUUGGAUUAAUACCUCGUAACAUUGUGAGAUGGCAUCAUUUUACAAUUAUAGUUCCGACGCUUGAAGACGGGCGUGCGCCUGAUUAGGUAGUUGGCGGGGUAACGGCCCACCAAGACCUUCGAUCAGUAACUGGUGUGAGAGCACGACCA
rnacentral:rRNA from 1 species